rnacentral:lncRNA from 1 species
UUCUUUUAACCCUUUUCAAAAAUGAUGUACGAAGAACAAAAAAAGCUUGUCCAUGGACUAAAGUUUCUGGCGCGGCUACGAGGACGAACUCGCUCGCGAGGAAGAGAAUGCGGGGUGUGAUAUGUGCGUUCUAGUUUUUAACUGCUGCUCCUUGAAUGAAGAUGCAGGAAGAGUCUACCGUUUGCAAGGCCAGGCGAUUGAUGGAGGAGCACAGAAACCAAGAGACAGAGGGACGUGGCCACGAAGCCAACAAGAGGUUCGACAAUGUGAUCAGUUUCUUUCUAGCCCGGGGGUGUGUCCGAGCUCGGCCCCGAAGGUUCAAUUCUAGAAGAAAUAUUUCUAAAGUCCGGCGUCUGAAGCAUUCCCAUGGGAUGACUGUUGUCUCCUGCACCACAAUGCAUAAAUAAGGGCAUACCUUUGUGGCUCUUAAGCUCUGCGAUCGGGAUUUUCCUUUUCCCACGACGCUCUUCUUUGACCUUUACUCGCGUGGCCUCUCUUCAAAGCAUGGCAAACCUGUAAAGCAACACGUCCUGAAUUAUUGUUUAAUCUACAUUAGGUACUCGAGCAAGAAAAUUCAACCAGGGUG